GAAAAUAAAACAAUAGCAAUAGAAGGACCAAUAACCAAUACGCGAAGACAGCUAGGGGCUAAAACCAGUAAAAUACCAGAUCCUAAAAUGCAGUGCUCAAGUGCGGAUCCAUUUGUAAACAAGUGUAAAUUACAAGGCCAAAUUAAAAGAGUAAAUAAGACGAAUGGAAUGUAAUUGACUGCGCAUACGAAAGGGGGAGGGUCUGGCGAGUAAAUAUCCCCUCACCGCGAAAACACGCGGAUCCCAGGGGCACUCGGGCCGGAUCCAAUCGGGCAUAAACACACGGCACCAUUUUGGAGCCAUUGGAACGGGCCCAAACGGUGCCGUUUUUGGUUCUAUAAAAGCCUCAAACAAGGCCACAUUCGGCCGAUUCAAGAACCCCAGCCCCGUUUUGCUUCUCCAACCGACCUAUAACCCUCCUUCUCAGGCACCGAUUCGUCUCCCUAAACGGCGAUCGGUACCUUCAUGCCUUGAAGGACAUUUCUUAGCCUCAUGACUCCAUUUUGACUCCGAUAUCGACGAAACCAAAAGAAGUCUAUGGCAUAUUCGCAAGGUAUUUUCUUAUCCUUAUGCUUUUAUACCCUUUUUUGUGACGAUGAUGGAUUUGAAUCAAUGCUAAAUAACAGGAAGAAGGAAGAAAAAAAGAAGAAAGGUAUAUAAAAACGAGAGCCAAAAUCACCUCUCUGUUUUCUGAUCGAUCCUUGUUAUCUCUUUGCUUGUACACUAUGCUUUUUUUUGUAUUUUUUCUGUGAACCCCCAUACAAUAUCAAAUCAUCGGCUUUAUAGCCGAAUGUUCAAAAAAAGGAAAUAAAGAAUACAAUUUUGUUCUUUUUUCAUAUUGGCCACUAUUACUGUUGUCGUUUUGUCCAUUUUUUUGCAGGUACAACUGCGUGGCGUGUACGAGGGCGUGUGCUGGCGUACGAGGGCUGUGGCGUGGCCGCUGGAGGGUACGGAGGCCAGGGCUGCCGAAACGCUGGAAGUUGUACGGUGCUGGACCUAGGGUUUCAACUUUCGAAGCUGAAAUUUGGGCCAUCUGGGCCAUUUCAGGAUUGGACCAUAUUGUAAAAUGAGUUUAAAAUUUGGGCUUCGAUUUGUAUUUGGAUUAAUUGGGUAUUCUAUUAGGCUAAAACUGGGUUUGGGUCUGAUAGGGUUAUUUAAUGGACUGAGGUUUAUUUAUUUAUUGUAUAUUUGGAUUUCUAGUGGGUCUAGGUAAAUUUGGCCCACUACAAGUGACUAAAAUGUAGUCUAAGGCAAACAAAAGUGAUUAUUUUUGUUUACCCAUUAAUUUGAAAAAUCACAAAUUAAUUCUCAUGUCAUUUUCAUAUUUAGUGAGAAAACCACGUUCAUUUCCUAAUGUUUUCCAUUUCUUUAACUCUAUCAUUUCUAUCCAUAAAUGUUCAUUUGAU
rnacentral:lncRNA from 1 species